AGUGAACGCUGGCGGUAGGCCUAACACAUGCAAGUCGAACGGCAGCACAGUAAGAGCUUGCUCUUACGGGUGGCGAGUGGCGGACGGGUGAGGAAUACAUCGGAAUCUACUUUUUCGUGGGGGAUAACGUAGGGAAACUUACGCUAAUACCGCAUACGACCUACGGGUGGAAGCAGGGGAUCUUCGGACCUUGCGCGAUUGAAUGAGCCGAUGUCGGAUUAGCUAGUUGGCGGGGUAAAGGCCCACCAAGGCGACGAUCCGUAGCUGGUCUGAGAGGAUGAUCAGCCACACUGGAACUGAGACACGGUCCAGACUCCUACGGGAGGCAGCAGUGGGGAAUAUUGGACAAUGGGCGCAAGCCUGAUCCAGCCAUACCGCGUGGGUGAAGAAGGCCUUCGGGUUGUAAAGCCCUUUUGUUGGGAAAGAAAAGCAGCAGGUUAAUACCCCGCUGUUCUGACGGUACCCAAAGAAUAAACACCGGCUAACUUCGUG
rnacentral:rRNA from 1 species